rnacentral:rRNA from 1 species
GAUGAACGCUGGCGGCGUGCCUAAUACAUGCAAGUCGAGCGAACAGACUAGGAGCUUGCUCCUCUGACGUUUUCGGCGGACGUGUGAGUAACACGUGGAUAACCUACCUAUGAGACUGGGAUAACUUGGGGAAACUGGAUCUAACACCGUAAAAUUUAUUGAACCGCAUGGUUCACUAGUAAAAUGCGGUUUUACUGUUACUUAUUGAUGGUUCCUCGCAGAAUUAGCUAGUUGGUAAGGUAACGGCAUACAAAGACAACGAUUCGUAGCCGACCUAAGAGGGUGAUCGGCCACCCUGGAACUGAGAAAGGUCCAGGACUCCAAGGGAGGCAACCGGUAGGGAAUUUCGCGAAUUGGGCGAAAGCUUACCGGAGCAACGCCGGGUAAGUGAUGAAGGUCUUCGAAUCGUAAAACUCUGUUAAUAAGGAAGAACAAAUGUGUAAGUAACUAUGCACGUUUUGACGGUACCUAAUCAGAAAGGCACGGCUAACUACGUG